GACGAACGCUGGCGGCGUGCUUAACACAUGCAAGUCGAGCGAUGAAGCUUCUUCGGAAGUGGAUUAGCGGCGGACGGGUGAGUAACACGUGGGUAACCUGCCUCAUAGAGGGGAAUAGCCUUUCGAAAGGAAGAUUAAUACCGCAUAAGAUUGUAGUACCGCAUGGUGCAGCAAUUAAAGGAGUAAUCCGCUAUGAGAUGGGCCCGCGUCGCAUUAGCUAGUUGGUGAGGUAACGGCUCACCAAGGCGACGAUGCGUAGCCGACCUGAGAGGGUGAUCGGCCACAUUGGGACUGAGACACGGCCCAGACUCCUACGGGAGGCAGCAGUGGGGAAUAUUGCACAAUGGGGGAAACCCUGAUGCAGCAACGCCGCGUGAGUGAUGACGGUCUUCGGAUUGUAAAGCUCUGUCUUCAGGGACGAUAAUGACGGUACCUGAGGAGGAAGCCACGGCUAACUACGUGCCAGCAGCCGCAGUAA
rnacentral:rRNA from 1 species